AUCUCUGGGAUGUUUGCCAGCGGGUCUAUUCCCCUGCCGAUACUAACACCUACGGAUGUGUUCUGUAUAUUUAGAGUGUAUGCCUUCCUUCGUGUAGGUAACCCAGCAAGUAUGCGUCACAUCCACCUUGAACUCGUCGGGUUCAGGGUAACGACAUGCAGCGGCAUCUUCGGAGUG
rnacentral:other from 1 species